AAACAAAUGCAUAAAUGUUCCUAGAACUCAGCAAAUUGUUUCAGAGAGGAAUCUGCCCAUUAUCAAAACAAUUGAAAAACAAUCCUCUGUUUCCCUUCCUCCCCACUGAAUUAAUUGGAAAAAAAAACACCUCUACUUCUGUAGUUCCCCGAAACCUUGGGAGUUAAAGCUGGUAGAAAUAAUUAGAAGCUCUCCAGUUUUACAAAGCUACUCACCCCUCAUACAGCAUUGCGAUUGUGUAGGAAAUUGCCACUACAGCUGUCAGCAAAAGGCCAGCUGGGCUUGCAUGCCUGUUUUGAAAGAGAAGGAAAAGAUCAGGAGAAACGAGGUUGCUCGACGCAGGUGAUGAGAAGCAUUUGGGUCUGACCAGAACCAGAUGGCAGACACAUUCCUCCAGCAUCCCUCCCGCUGCCACGGAGCUGGGGCGUUAGCUCUGGCCUCCGAGGGCAGAUACCUAACAUCUUCUGAAAGCCCU